GCCACCUUGGCUCCUAAAGGCCAGAUUUAGAGGAAGAGGGGGGCAAGCUUUGCGUACCUCAUUCGCAACACAGCUGGGAGGAAAGCAAACUGCCUGAAAUGCAGCCUAAGAAUUCGGUGAAGAAGGGAGCGCAGCAGACAAACAGGCCAGGUGCCGGCGAUGCAAAUGAAAUGGAUGACAGAUGGCGAGUAGCACGCUCACUCACUGCGCCUGUAUAAUGGAUAGAGACCCAGCCAAGGACUCUGAGAGGGUUGAGGGAAAAAAUAUCCUCCCUACAAAACCAUCAAGCCAAAAGAAGCAAGCCUCAAAAUACCUUUGCUAGUGUUCAAUUAUACAAUCACACUGACCAUCUCCAGGAUCUGGUUGCAGAAGUUUGAAAGGAUUUUCUCUCUACCUGCCUCAUAGGGCAUAAUACAGUGCUCCUGGGGCUCACAGCAGCCUUCUUCUAGAUGAAAGUGCAAGUUAUUAGAUUGAACAUCAUAAUCAUCAUAACAUCACUGAUACCAACAUUUCUUACUAUAAGAAGGCUUUCUGAACGUUUUAUAUCAAUAAAGAAUUGUUAUUUUUGGCA
rnacentral:lncRNA from 1 species